rnacentral:rRNA from 1 species
AUACGUAGGGGGCGAGCGUUGUCCGGAAUUACUGGGCGUAAAGGGCGUGUAGGCGGGGGUGCAAGUUAUCGGUAAAAACCCGAGGCUCAACCACGGGCCUGCCGAUAAAACUGCAUCUCUUGAGUGCAGGAGAGGGGAAUGGAAUUCCCGGAGUAGCGGUGAAAUGCGUAGAUACCGGGAGGAACACCAGUGGCGAAGGCGGUUCCCUGGCCUGUAACUGACGCUGAGGCGCGAAAGCUGGGGUAGCGAACGGGAUUAGAUACCCCGGUAGUCCCAGCCGUAAACGAUGGUCACUAGGUGUGGGGGGUGUUCAAGCCUUCCGUGCCGGAGCUAACGCAAUAAGUGACCCGCCUGGGGAGUACGGCCGCAAGGUUGAA